UGGUUGUACAUUAGGGAAUAAGGUUAAGCCAUGCAAGUGAAAGUUAACUGUUGUAGACUGCGGAUAGCUCAAUACAAUGACCACAAUUAAAGCAACAAUCAAUGCAGGAUAUAGGCGGAAACUCUGCCGGUAAACUUUUGAUGACUCAGCCGGAUGUGUAUGGUAAGAAAAUUUCAGGAAAAGCUGUUGCGCAAGUGGUUAUCCUAUCAGUUGAGCUCAUUAGGGUAGUGGCCUAAUGUGACUAUCACGGGUGACGGGGAAUGAGGGUUUGAUUCUGGAGAGGGAGCCUGAGAGAUCGCUGCCACAUCUAAGGAUGGCAGCAGGCGCGAAAAUUACCCAAUUUCGAAGAGAAGAGGUAGUUAAUUCUCGGAGUGACCAGAAUUAAUUCUGUGAUCACAAGGUUGAGUUGUCAAGUAUCUAGUACAUUUUUU
rnacentral:rRNA from 1 species